rnacentral:rRNA from 1 species
UACAGAGGUGGCAAGCGUUGUUCGGAAUUACUGGGCGUAAAGGGCGCGUAGGCGGCCUUCUAAGUCAGACGUGAAAUCCCCAGGCUUAACUUGGGAACUGCGUCUGAUACUGGGAGGCUUGAGUGCGGGAGAGGGAUGUGGAAUUCCAGGUGUAGCGGUGAAAUGCGUAGAUAUCUGGAGGAACACCGGUGGCGAAGGCGGCAUCCUGGACCAACACUGACACUGAGGAGCGAAAGCCAGGGGAGCAAACGGG